GUCGGUGACGAUUGUUGGCGGGGUCGGUCGGUCGAUCAUCUGGAGGAGCGCUCAAACGGGACCGUUGCAGGUGGAGAGAAAUCUUGUGGUCGCGAUCGACGCGUUGGAAUUAGGAUUAUCACUAGUUUUGUUGGCUCCGGAAGAUGACACUGCUGAAUCAUGUUCUCACUGGAAUGCCGUCAACUAAGCGGAUCGCUGUCAUCGAGAAUCCGUCGUUUAGUAAGAUGGAGUCACCUUCUUCAGGACAAGGUGGACAAGUCUGAUCAUAUCAUCAUUGAGACUACCGCUAAGCGAAACUCUUGAUCACUAUUUUGCUAGCCUUUCAAUCGAAGGACUCAAAACCGCCGAACCUUUCCCGUGUGUGUGGUCUGACAUUCAGCAUGCAGUCUUGGAGUUUGCAGAUUGAAACAUCUGUUUUCUGCAUAAUUUUCCCAUGUGUAAAGUAACAACUAAUUCUGAUUAAAAGCUGUUGUUGCUGAGCCCCAACCUCUAACAUAUUGAACAGCGAAGCGCAUAAAAAAUUUCGUUUCCUUCCUUUGCCGAAGCAGGACCAAAGAAGUGCUCGGUGAUGUUCUUCGUCCUGCUACAUAUCUUGUUUUAACGGUGGAAUGGUGAAUAAUGUGAGAAAAGAAAGCUUUAUAAUGUUCGUGUUCAGGGCUUGCAAAUUUCGCCUCAAUCAUUUAAACGUUUUACUUUGACGGUAAUCUUAAGAAUCCAUAAUCAAUAACAGGUAUCCUAGGUGGAUUGGGUUUUAGAGUUUCUUGCUAAGUUGAUUGUGGAGUUCUGAUUUAAGGUUAAGUUUGGUUGGAGAUUGUUUCAGUAACUGCAAUAUUGAUAUCCUAGGACGAUUCCAUUUUGAAUUGAGCUUUGUGCAUACUUGUUACCUACUUGUUCUUCCCUGAGUCGUGUAUUUGGUAACAGAUCUAUCUUGCGAAAGUAGCUGAUGUGGAGGUAAUGAUGUGUCAGAUAAUGGCUGGCUCAAUUGCGCAUGGCGAGGUUGGCGAAGGUGGACUUGGACCAAAUUAUAAGAGUUGGUGGGGGGUUUGAUCUGGAAAGAGUGGAAGACCACGGAAUGCAUGGCACGGGAAGUUCUGGACUUGAGUACAAUGAGGCAU